rnacentral:rRNA from 1 species
UGCAUCGAUGAAGAACGUAGCAAAAUGCGAUAACUAGUGUGAAUUGGAGAAUCCCAUGAACCGUUGAGUCUUUGAACGCACGUUGCGCCCGAGGCCACCCGACCRAGGGAAUGCCUGCCUGGGCAUCAUGC